UUAUACUUAUGUUAUUAUUUGGCCCAUGUUUGCUACAAUUACUAAUGCAAAAGUUGAAUGUGAUGAUAAACAGACAUAAUAUCACCAUGCUCCACUAUGUUCGUAUACCUAAUACUGAAGUUUGUUGAGAGGGCUACGUGAUCCUUUCAGGAUCAAAGUGGGCAAUGUAAAAUAAUAAGGGCUCUCAACAUAUUCUUCUCUUGUCAGUAUAGUGUACUUGGCUGUUACAAGACACAGUUGAUGUCUUGCAAGCUGUUUCCUGUUUUGAAGGGUGUGUUGGUAAACUGCAAUCUAUAGAAAUGUGUUUCUUUUAUCUGUACUCUCUGUCCUAAGAACUAACGUAUUUCAUAUCAAACAUGUAUGUCAUGUCCAGAUAAGGUAAAGAAUGUUUCUUUAGUCCAGUGGAAUGUUGUUUUGCUGGACCAUAUAAUGAAGUGCUGUACGAAUAAACGUUGAAGAAGGAUUUGAUAGCAUUGGUUCUCUGUGUCAUUUCUUUCUUCCCUCAGCUGAGCCGCAUCGAGACGGGGAUUGCAGGUCAAGAAAAUAAAUUAAAUACAUUGAAUGACAAAAUUAUCUAACACGUUUGUAUUUUUAAGCUUCAUUUUAAAGAUUUGUUUGAUUUCUGUCAACAGAAAAGAAAAAUUUGUUGUGAGUUUUAGUCAAAUUUUAUUUCCAUCAAAUUGAAUAUUGUUACUAUGAAUAAAAGUGUGUGAAUGAUGCUGUAACUGAUUUGUAGAGUCAAAUGUUUUUUGUUGUUUCAGGCUGUUAUUUCGAAGGUGAUCAGAAGAUGCCCGCACCUGGCUGGCACAACGUGGCACCAGUUCGUUCCUCCUUUCAGCUACAUCAAGUGCUGCAGUGUGCACCUGCAAGAUGAGUUUACAAACAUUACAAAACAUCACAGAAUUAUUAUAUGUUCUGGACAACUGUGGCUGUAAACUAUUAAUAUUCUUUUAUAAUAAUAUCAGUCACUAAUGUUCAUGUUUUCAUCAUCUCAGGAUUCAACCGGAGAAGUGCACUGCGAGAAAGUGACGUGUCCGGCGCUCACCUGCAGCCGACCAAUCAGACGCAACCCUUCAGACUGCUGUAAGGAGUGUCCAGCGGAGGACACGCCCCCUCUGGAUGAUGAUGUAAUGAUGCAGGCGGACGGAACGCGUCACUGCAAGUUCGGCAGAAACUUCCAGAACAGUGAACACUGGCACCCGAGCGUCCCGCUGGUCGGGGAGAUGAAAUGUAUCACCUGCUGGUGUGACCACGGAGUUACGAAGUGUCAGUGAAAACAGUGUCCGUUAUUGAGUUGCAGUGACCCCAUCCACAUGGAAGGGAAAUGCUGUCCUGAGUGCAUAGACACACAUAACGAGACGUCUGCAGACUGCAAAACAACAACAAACAAACGAAACAGAGAGGACGUCCAGAACAAAAGAGAACGAGAGUUUGAGAGAACGUGACUCUGAAGACGAAAGAGAUCGAGACAAAAACAGAAAAAAACGAGAGUGAAUU